ACCGUAAGGUAGGAGGAGGUAAAAUAUACAAGUGGAAGAAAUAUUAUAUGGUGCACCAUUCCAUUCCACCAUCCAUUGACCAAUCCAAGACUAACUGAUUAUUACUCGUAUUCAUAAAAUUCAACAAAAAUUUAUUCCUAAAACUCAAAUCAGGCAAGCAACAAUAUAGAGUGAAAUAUACUAAUUUCCUAUCAUAAAUGAAGAGUCUAAAGAAUGAAGAAAAUUUUUUAAGUUUGAUGCUUUAAUUACCAAAGCAAUUCCUGGGUAAAAUUAGAGAUCAGAAGAUUUCUCUAUCCUUGACACUGGAAUGUGUCACGUACAAAAGAAGAAAGUAUAAGAAUAAGUGAAUUGAUCAAUUAGUUGUGAUGGUAGUUGAAGUUGUUGUAGCUUUCUGUUAGAGGUUGUUGGAGAAAUUGUAGC
rnacentral:misc_RNA from 1 species